CUCGGCGGGAGGAAGGAGAAAGAAGAGGAGGCGGCGGCGGCGGAGGAGCAGGGCACAUAAACCAGGGCACUUCAGUUGUCUCAUGUUUCCUUCUGUUGAGAGUUCACACUUCGCGUCCGAACUUUUGCGCACAAAUGGUGCAAUUAGCAGGCACAAAAGCCCUGGCUCAUGACGCCUGUGCUCGCAAGCUAGCUUUAGUAAAACUUGUGCUGACUUUUUUUCCCCUUUAAAACUCGUUUGGACUGGAGUUCGCCUCAGACUUCCCCCCUCCCCCCGCUCCUGCCCUCCUUUGGUCCGUGUGGUAUUUGUUUGCCGGUUUAAGAAGCCCAGCUCUGUUUGCUCUGAUGUUCUUUUAGCCGAGGCUGUGUUGGGGCUGCCGGACUGUCUGGGCUUUAGUGACCGAUGAGGUGUUAAAUGCUAAUUCAACAUCUUUCGAAACAAACCAGGAUUUUGUUGAAACAUUUUAAUACAAGCAAACAAAUGACUGUAGUUCAGAUAAUAGGGAAAAACGUUUUAAAAAUAGCGUUUUCAUUAUUUUUUUAAACAGUGCGGACUGCAGAAGCAAACUCCGAUGCUUUUAUUCCCCUCGAGCGGCGUGAGGCAUUAGGAGCCAUUGUUCCGGAGAUACAAGCCACCCCCACCCGCGCCGUCACCCACCGUGCGCUGGGGGUGGGGGUCGCGCUCGUUAAUCAUUUCUAGCCAGCUAGUUCGACUUCCGACAGCGGAGCCCGUCUGGCGGGGCUGCCUGGGUGAGGUGCAUUGGAUCUCGCGGAGCCGGCCGGCUGUCCCCACCAUCCUAGAGGCAUGGGGAAGUCCUGCCGCAAGGCCUGCAGACUGAAGGGAUCAGGCGGGCUCGGGGAUUGGUUACUGUAGACAGGGAGGCAUGCAUAUCAGAGGGGAGCCUUUCCCACCCCACCACCCGCGCCGGGAACCCUCAUCCCUGCCAGAGCCGCAGCCCCCUCCCCUGCGGGUGGCCGGGCACUCGCGGAGCAGCGGCGGCGCCUGCGCUUUGCACUCUUUGUCAGCACCCCGCCGCCCCCGCAUCCUCGCUCAGUGGGUGCUGGGCGACCCCGCGGACUGUUGGGGGGCCCGAGUGCAAACUGUGGGCUCCGUAAUGGCCCAGAGAGGGUGAGGGGAAAGGAGUGCCUGCUGGGACUCCCUGGCUCCCAAGGAGAGCUCAGAGUUCCGGGGGACGUUUCUGUCGCUCAGCAGAGCCAGCAGACGUUCCUAUCCCAAGACGUUUCAGUCACUGGGACCUGGAGGCGAGGAGGGGCGAUGCAGGAUACCUGCUGCGGAACCAAGGAGCGCGAAGCCCGGGACCUCCCACAGAAGAAGCAGGUGUUGAAGAGACCAUACCACCCUAUGCUGUUCCCUGCCAGAAUUUGAAGGGGUAAGGUAGGUCUGCAUUUUGAGUUUUGACCACCAGCUUCACCUGUUCUGUUGCACGCUCCUCACAGAUAUCAAGGAUCAAAAGUUGGGCUUAUUUUCCUGUUCAUUUUACACCUGGUCGUUUUCUUUGCACGCACCUCUUCAUUAUUAACCAUUCAAUAAAUGCUGCAUAUCUUUCCUUGGGUCCUCACAACUACCGUUACUUACCUAGUAUGUCAGCAUAGCACAUGGGCCUGGAUUCGGGUCUCAGCCCUGUCCCUCACUCAGUUGCAGCCUGGCAGAGGACAGUCAUAGCCUCUCUGUGCCUCCAUUCAUGCAUUCAUUCACCCACUCACUUAUUGUAGGUUCCAAGAAAGCAGCAGUGAAUAAAACAGACAAGAAUACCUGUCUUCCCAGAGCUUACCUCCUGGUGAGGACAGACAAUAAACAAAAUAAAUAAUGAAACAGGAUAUUAGGAAGCGAAAGUGCUAUGGAGAAAAAUAAAGCAAGGAAACAAAUUCAGCAGUGUGUAAAAUUGGAAUUAGUUUUACCUACCUCAAAGGACUGUGAGGAUGAGAGGCAGUCGAGAUGACACACACAAAGUGUAGGGCACAAUAUAGGGACUCAAAAGAAGGUGUUUUUAAGACUCUCUGCUUUUGUCCUGCACAAAGCUGACACUCUGUUGUCUUGAAUCUCACCCUGGCCCUGUCGCCUAGGCUCCUAGGAAAAACUAGAAGAGUUCUAGCCACUGGAAGAAUCACAGGCUUCCUUACUUCCGGAGGCCUCAGUUCCCUGCUCAGGGUAUCAUUUAUACGGGCAUGUGUCUUAAGUGCAAGGAAGCAAUUUCAGAGGCCCUAAUUUCCCUGUGUGUGAAUAUGUGUGCAUGCACUGAGCACUGGGGCUUGAGUUUUCCCUGGGAUUACCCGCUAGGAAGCUGCUUGAAAGUAAGUCUUUCUGUUUUACAUAUUUGGUUGGCUAUUGGAGAAGCAUUCCAAGUUUGUAGGAAUUUUCCUGCCUUUGAGGACCCUUGAGAUGUAUGAGACCUAAAAGGGUUAGCAUGAGCUUUAUUUAAUCUUGGAGUAAUCUCUAUGAAUACAAUGACAUUUAUUAAACAUAUUAUGUGAAAAUAGUUCAACAAAUUUUCAGCUAAUAAUAGGGAGAGAGUGUUCUGGAAGAUCUGACUUAAAAUGUAAUUUUGUGGCAUAUUCAAGAUUCACUUUUUAGAGGCCCCAGGGAGGCCCUCACAGGAACAGUGCCUUCCAGAACAGCCAAAUAGAAAAAAACGGUUCAAUGGAAUUAAACUGCAUUUGAGAAAUAUGUUUGAAAUAGCCUGACUUAAACGGCAUAUGAGGCUCACAAAACUCAUGCUGACAGGUGCCUCAAAAAGACAGCAAGUUACGUCUGAACAGCAGGAGCUGUGGAACCCAAUAGGCCCAAAGAACGGGCAAUAGGAAACAUGGGCUCUACACACCGAUAGGCUGUGCACACAGAAAACCAAAAGGAGUUUCAAAUGUGAGCCCCAAAUUAAAACCACGACUGCAGAUCCUGGGUUGCUAUCAGACUGCAUCUCACGUGGCAGCUCCACAUGGCUUGCCCCUGGGUGAGGGGCUGCAGGAUCUUAUUGAGAACAGAUUAACGAUUUCCCCACAAAUGUGGGAGUGGGGAAAAGGCAGGCUAGGUUAGAUGGCAACUAACAGGUCGCUGGCCUGCGGCAGUGCCCAAGUCACACAUCCAGUUACAUCUAGGAAGUGGCUGGAGUUUUCCUAUAAACAUGCACAUGCACUUUCGCACCUUGCUAGAAUAACAACCUAAAGGAAAAUGUGGACUAUUGUGAAAUUCUGACCUUGGCCCCAACCAGGCUAACCUUUUAAAAACCAUGGUCUUCAUCCGCUUUCUUGAGUUUCUGUUUUCCCUCACUGAAUAGAAUGCACAUUAAUUUACAUUCAGGAUCCCACAGAGACUUUAUCUAGAAAGUUCUUUUGAAGUCUUCAGCAAGAACAUUCAUUUAAAGGCAACAAUGGUGAUUUCUCGUUUCAGAUGCUUUUAGUCCCUUAGCUUCCAGCGAUAGAACAUUCAUUGACUCUUCCCUGUUGUACUUUUUUUUCCCCACGAAGAAGGAAAUGAAAAGCAUAUGUAUAUGUAAGAAAUCCUCAGGAAGUUGGCAUCUCUGUAGUACAGCCCAGGUCACCAACCUGUAUUGGAGGGGGUGAGGAGGUAUUACGGCACCUUGCUUCCCAAUGUACUAUUUCCAAAGCCCCAGGGAUGGUCCUUAGUGGGAAAUGAGGCUUACGUUGCCUUCCAGGGAGGUGAGGGACUGUAUGUAUUCAUGUUUCCAGAAACUUCCCUGGGUCCUGUCUUGAAGCAGCAUGUGUGCAGUAUCCUGGGCAUUCGCCAUGCUGCAGCUACAUGCAGAAUAUCUGCCUUGUAUCUCCUUGUGUGGACUGUUCCCUCUGGUGACUUUUCUCCCCAUCUUGUGUUUCUUUAUUUACUCAGGUGUGAGCAGUACAGAUAGCUGUUGUGUAAAAGAACUAAUCAUUUUUCUAAGUAGGUAUGAUUUCCUGCCAGCCCUUUUUUGCCUCAGCAAUCAGUAGAAAUGACUAUGUGUGUCCACAAUACAAGGAAUGUUUUAGUUCAGUUUAUCCAACUUAAGAACUCACAGAUUCAGGACUAUAUGGGUGGAAACCCAGGGGCCUUCAAACUCCAGUCUAAGCAGGACUGCUUUAGGCCGUUUGAUAGGUUCAUCCCCAAAGUUACGUUUGGGUAUAUGAUGAAAAUAGCAAGACAAUGGCUACAACCUAUUCUACACCAAGCUUUGCUUGUGUUCAAUCUAACUACCAUGAUAACUGCAAAGCAGAUAUACCAUUACCACAGUUUUAUAGUGAGGAAGGCCGGGCUCAAAAGGCAGGUAAUUACACUGGAACUCAAACUCACAUCUCAGUCCCUUUGAAGUGUCUCUAGUACAUUCUGCUCCCUACUCAAUAAGAGUGGCCCUACCUAAAGCACGGCUGCAUGCAGCCUGCUGUGAAUUCCGCCUGUUAUAAAAUGGCAGCUUCUGCAUACUUUGUUACAUUUUAACUUGCUGGUCAAAUCGGGGAGUUCUACAGUCAGACCAACCUGGAUUCUAACCCAUUCUAGCCCUUUGAUUCUGCAGGAACUUGCCUAAUCUCCCUAUGCUUCAGUUUCCUCACCUGUAAAACCGGGAUAACAUAUCACAGGGCUAUUGUAAUAAACAACAUGUUUAUAAGGAGGAACAGUCUUGAAACAAUAAUUCAUUGAGAGUUGCCUGUUUUUAUUGUUACACACACACACACACACACACACACACACACACACACACACACACCUACCUCUUAAUAAAUGUUUAUUGACCUUGCUGAAAAGGGAUUAUAUAAUGGAAAACACUACAGGGUCAGUUUUGUUCUCAGGAAUAGAAAAACAGACCAUAUAAGAUUAUGAAACAAACAAAAAAAACAACUUAAAGAACACAGUAGAUUGCUUUACCACCUCUCUUAGUUGCUGAUGUAAGCAUCCCGGAAAUCACCAUUUCUCCAUGUGCAGAGAGAGACCAGGGACAUUGGGAACGCUGAAUACUUAGGAAGGCCUUCCCAGCAGUCUAGGACCCACCUGCUGAAGCAGCAGGUAUUGUCUUCCCUCCGUCACUGCCGGCUCAUGGCCAUUCCUGUCAGCUGAGGAUUUGCUAAAAGGGAUGUGGAAGUCUAGUGGCCUCAGUGAUGUUAUCAUCCUCUCAGUGGUCUGGGUCCUCUGUAGCUGAUGGGAGCCCCCAUUUAUUAAUAUAUACUCAAGCAUUUAAGGCCUCUUGUAUCUUAGAAGGCUUUCCCCAGAGAAGUUCUUCUUUCUUCUGACUUGGUGCCCAAGGAGCGUUUUUUUCAGAACGGGGAAGAGGCAGAGGGGGGUGAGAGCUGGGUAUGAGGGCCACGCUCCUGUGACUGGAAGGAAUCUUCCAUUACUGGGUGAAGGCUGCUGUGCUGGAGGCCACUUAGGUAAAUAGAGCACCUGCCUGGCACAGUUUCUAUAGUAAUUUUUGCACAAGUAGGAGUCCAAGGUUAUUUGUAUUAAAUAUCUGACAAAUGUGCAUCUUUUGUAGUAAUUCCAGCAGGUUUUUUCUCAGCCCACCUGAAGUUUUAGACUCUUUACCCAAACCCCAAAAGUCUCAACCCUUACUAGGUCAUGCCUCCCUUCCCGUUUCCUCUCUCCCCGCACCCUCCCUUAACUAGCUUCCCAGGGCAGAAGCCUUUGUGAUGGGCUCUCUCAUCCCUUUUGUUAUAUUGUCUAUAUGAUCAUUUUAAGUCAUACAGUAUAACUGCCCUAGUACUCUAAUGCUUUAGACGUGGAUAAUGAGCUGUGACAUUCUUAAAUAUGAAUCAAUACCUUAGACUUGACUUGGUGACCUGUGGGUUUUUUUUUAAAUUUAGCAUAAAGGAUGUUAAAAAAUUAUUUCUGUUGCUGAAAUUGGUGGCACUUAUGAUAUGUGAUGGUUAGAGGAGGUGUGACAGGACCUGUGGGUCUUGCAUGACUAAGAAAGAGAUCAGAAGGCAGCCAGCCCACCUGUGUAUGUAACCCAGCUUCCAGCACAGAGCCUCUGACUCCCGGCUUCACCUUGGAUCCUGCCCCUAGUGAGACUCCAAAACCUGCUGGUGUUUAUUUUGGAGCACUGCUGCCUUGCUUCAGCAUGGCCCUUUUGUGCAGGGUGCUGCUAAUCAAAGAAUUGAGGCUAGCGAGAAGGACGCAGUUUGUAUGACUGCACCUACUUGCUAAAACAUAUUUUUUUUCAUCUAGUUAAAUUUGGUAGGAGAUUUAUUUUUAUAGUGAGAGUGAGGUAGAGUGCAGUGAGGAGUGUAACCUAAAUCUGGGCCUCUCUAACCUCUAGAGGCCUCUGAUUUUUAUCAAAAGAAUCUGACAUUUGUCCAACAGCCAACUUGGCUCAGAAGCAGAGCUGAAAAAUAUAGGUGCCCAAGUCCCAUCUUCAGUAAUUCUGAUUUAAAUUUUGUAAGAUGGACCUCAGGCAUUGGCAUGUCUCAAGAACUCCCCAGGGAAUGAUAAUAUGUAACACGGGCUGAGAACCAUUGGCCUAGAAGGAUUCACAACACUUGUCCCCCAUUAUUCCCCUUGCCUAGGGAGAGGUUGCCAGCCAGACUGGUGAGUCUCAGCAUGAAAUGUUUGGAAACACCUGGGAUUGCUUGCUACUAGUCUACAUCGUUGCCUCCUGCUCAGGGACCCUGAUUCAGAAGGUCUAGAGAGGGGCCCAGGCAACUGUCUUUGAGUCCAACAGCCAGCAGUGGCUCAUACAGGUGGGCCACACUUUGAGAAGCUCAAUGUUCCAGAUAGCCAGGUUCCUCAACCUCCAGCUCUAGUCAAGUAUAGACGUUUUCUUGAAGAGUACCUGGAAGGAUGAAUCUAAUAGUACACUUUACCCAUAAAUAUCAGAACUAACUAACAGAAAAUGCAGCAUUAAAUAUAACUAAUCAGUUUGUCCCUGUAAGCUCAACUCUUGGACUGGCACAGACUCUGAUUUCUUUUCAGGACGCUUGAAACUGUACCCAGAUCUGCCUAUGCAUCUGCCUGAAAGAAAGUCUCUCUUGAUAACAGAAUUAAGUGUUUAUUGAGCACCCACUCUGUAUCUAGAACUCCAAUGACUGCUGGGACAUAUAGAAAUGAAUAAGGCCCUGCUGUAACAAAAAACACGUCUGAAUGGCCAGGUUAGACACAUGCACAGGUAACUAGAAUGUAACAAAACAAAUGCAGUACAGUAAUUGCAAUAGCAAGGAAGUGCUAUAGGAAUAAGUGGAGGAAAUGGUUCAUCGACCUUGGGUGUUGGAAAGGAUCCCAGAGUUAGAUCCCUGUGGAUAAGCAGAUUUCUCCCUUUGCCCUAGUCCAGGGAGAUGGGAGAAGAAAGGCACUGUGAGCUAGAGAAACAGCCCGCACGAGCAAAGGUUUGGAGGCGUGGACAUACGUGACACCUGGAGUGCAGUGGAGCAGUAUGGAGGGUGCAGAAUGGCAAAGAACAUAGGAAAGGUAGUUUCAAGCCAGGUAGCAGUGGGCUUUGGAUGUCAUGCUGAGGAGUUUGGGAUUUUUCUUUAGGCAGUGAGAUGUCAUCAAAGAUAUUUAUACAGGGGUGUGGCAUGAUUUCAGAAUAUGCUUCUGAGAACAAAGGGGUGAGUCGACUGGAGGGGAAAGAGAAACUGGAGGCAGAAAAACCGAUUAGGAAGCAAUUGCAAGGAAAAUGAUGCUACACCACAAUUGUCCUGUUCCUAAAAUAACGAACUCAUCAUCUCAUGCUUUGUUUCAUUCCUCUUCUUUCUGGGGCUAGGAAAAUCUCUUAGUCCUUGUGUGACUCAGACUCCCUCCCUAUUAAUAGAAGAUGGCAAAACACUUAUCUUUCUUCACACACGGAGGUACCGAGAGAUCCUUGUAAUUGUAGCCAGGAAAGAGGGGGAAUGCUGUCCUAAAUGCCAGUGGUGUAACCUUCCCUGGGGAGAGAAAUUGCCUGUUGCCCCUAACUUUUCAUUAUAAAAAUUUCAAACCUACAGAAAGGGUGAAGUUGAGUAACAACAUCAGAAAUGUGCUUUGGAGGGAAGCUCUUGCCAACCUCCUCCAUGCUCACUAUCCCGGAAGUGGCAUUUCUAACCCAAGGGCCCAUCACCUUUAGGAUAAAAAUGCCAUUGCAACAUGUUUGGCUACAAACACUGUUCCAUAAAGUGAGGUUUUGUAAAGAAGGACUUGUCUCCCCGUUGUUUUUCAUUACAAACAAAAGUAUAAGGCAUUUUACUCCCUUUAACUCCUACUGCUUGAAUAGGGUGGGGGUGUCGUGUAUUAGUAGAAUGCAUGAGACAUGGUCACUUAAGACUUGGGCAAAAUGUUUCCAGGUUGUACUUGAGUGUUGGGCCUUGGAGUCUAUCCUUAUAGCAGGGGGGAUCUGGGUGUGCCUUUUUCCAUCUGUUGCCUGGCCCCUUCUGAAAAAUAGAUCUCCAUUUCACUUGCCCAGCACCCCAUCUGGAAUCUCUCCUCUUUUUGAAAAAGCAGCACUGGUGUCUAUCACAGAAUGCACUGCAGACUGAAAGGGAUUUAAAUUUUGCCAAAGUGAUUUUGUCUUCUACCUUAAAAAAAAAAAAAUCCAUGCUUGAUCUAUCUGCUGAGUUGGAGCAAGAUAUUCUGAGGGGUAGAAAGAUAAACCCAUGGGGCCACUCCCCUCAAGAAGCUAGCAGGUGGGGACAGUGACGUAAGAGAGAAUGUUACAAAGGUAGCAUUCAGUGUGCCAUUAGAACAGUAUCAAAGUUCAAGAUUGAACAGGACAGUAGUAUUAGAUAACUGAUGGAGCCCUUCCAUCCCAGGAUGGGACCAUUUGGACUUACAGUGAGGAAAUCCACAGUACUUCAUUUUAUACAUGAAAACUAAAUGCUUAUAGGGUGAUAUACCAGGGGUGCCAAA